CUGCACCACAGGGUGAAAGAUUUUCCUGAUGAGACACCCAAUUAACAAAGGUGACUGAAUCGUUUAACAUAUUUUAAACAUAGAUCCUCAGUUUCCUAUUUAAAAAUGGUUGACAGCUAAUUAACUAGAAAACUACUCAUCAAUUUCUGACAAUGUGGAUUGUGACAUGUUAAAGUUCUUGUUUAAAUGUGUAAAUAGAUAUAGAUGAUGGGGUCAUGAAGUUCAGAUCUAGACCUACACAUUCAGUUUGUCAGCUCAGGCAGGAGUUUGGUUUGAAGUAGGAAUGUGAAUUUUGGCACCUUCUUUUAAAUAUAGAGGAAUUUUAUGAAAUUUAGGUCAGUAGCUGAACUUUUACAGUGCUCUGUAGGUGCAUGGAUCUGUCUGACAGCUUUAUUUCCAUCUCGGAAUAAAGGACUGAAGACUCGUCUGGCAACUGCAGUGAGAUUUUCACAUCUCCAUGCAUGAAAUCAGACAAUGAAUGGAAAGGUCAGAACAACAGAGUCUCCUGUCCAGAAUUUUGAAGAUCUUGUGAAAGCUAGGAGUUGUCUGAGCCAAGUAGUAAUGCAAUUCAGACAUCAUGGACUGAAUAUGAAGACUUCUAUGUCUAAAAGCCUGAACCCCUUGAGGAGUGGUGCUUCUCAAACCACAAAGGAAGAAUUGUUAAUAAUGGAGGUGGAUUUUUCUGAAGGGGCACAUAUCUCAGGUCUCUUGUAAGAUCAGUUGCUGUGUUGCAGCAUGAAGCUGCAACAAGAACAAGAAGCAUGGUGAAUAGACAUCGCUCAAUUUCAAUGUCCUUCAUAGAGUAAAUUAUUUCAGUCAAAUCCCCACUUGCAAAAGUCCUCCUCUUUGACUACCAUCUGACUGGAUGGAAAGGAAAACAUGGUUACUGUAGUUUGUGAUGCAUAAAUGAAGAACAUAUUUGUGUUAAAAAUUAAGGUGUUUAUACCACACUGUAACAUUACUCUAGUUUUAAAGAUUUAAUGAAAUCCAUUCUACAAGGUUUCACUGCAAUAAAAAAAAAAAAAAGAUGUGAGAUCUUGCA
rnacentral:lncRNA from 1 species